GAUGAACGCUGGCGGCGUGCCUAAUACAUGCAAGUCGAGCGAACGGACGAGAAGCUUGCUUCUCUGAUGUUAGCGGCGGACGGGUGAGUAACACGUGGAUAACCUACCUAUAAGACUGGGAUAACUUCGGGAAACCGGAGCUAAUACCGGUUAAUAUUUUGAACCGCAUGGUUCAAAAGUGAAAGACGGUCUUGCUGUCACUUAUAGAUGGAUCCGCGCUGCAUUAGCUAGUUGGUAAGGUAACGGCUUACCAAGGCAACGAUGCAUAGCCGACCUGAGAGGGUGAUCGGCCACACUGGAACUGAGACACGGUCCAGACUCCUACGGGAGGCAGCAGUAGGGAAUAUUCCGCAAUGGGCGAAAGCCUGACGGAGCAACGCCGCGUGAGUGAUGAAGGUCUUCGGAUCGUAAAACUCUGUUAUUAGGGAAGAACAUAUGUGUAAGUAACUGUGCACAUCUUGACGGUACCUAAUCAGAAAGCCACGGCUAACUACGUG
rnacentral:rRNA from 1 species